GGAAUAUUGGUCAAUGGGCGCGAGCCUGAACCAGCCAAGUAGCGUGCAGGAAGACGGCCCUACGGGUUGUAAACUGCUUUUAUGCGGGGAUAAAGUGGGCUACGCGUAGCCCUUUGCAGUUACCGCAUGAAUAAGGACCGGCUAAUUCCGUGCCAGCAGCCGCGGUAAUACGGAAGGUCCGGGCGUUAUCCGGAUUUAUUGGGUUUAAAGGGAGCGCAGGCUGAUUAUUAAGCGUGACGUGAAAUGUAGCCGCUCAACGGCUGAACUGCGUCGCGAACUGGUAGUCUUGAGUGAGUUCGAUGUUGGCGGAAUUCGUGGUGUAGCGGUGAAAUGCUUAGAUAUCACGAAGAACUCCGAUUGCGAAGGCAGCCAACAAGGCCUUUACUGACGCUAAAGCUCGAAGGUGCGGGUAUCGAACA
rnacentral:rRNA from 1 species